AUAGAUGUGCUUUCCAGUGACAUUCCAGUGAUCAAAUGUGGCUGUUAACUGCAUAGUCUUGGCAUCAGGCAUAACUGAGGCAGACUUCUUGUACUCGGUAAUAGAAAAACAAAACUCCAACUAAAACUGGCCAAAUAAAAAUGCUGUGAACCUCACAUGAGACAAGAUCUGAAUCUUACUGAUUAUAUCUAUCGUGAUCUUUGGCCCACAGUGAACCUAUAACAAUUAUUCUUAUUCUUAUCAUCAUCAUCUACUUUGACAUUAGUCCAGGAAUAUAGAUCUCUGCCACUUUGAAAAAUGCAAGUUUAGUCUCUGAUAUCUGAAUCUUUCAGGGGAAAAUUGGGGUUGUUCGACUGAUUAUUUGAAUAAUGUCAAUGAUCCAGAUAAGGCAGUAAAUGUUUUUAUCCACUCUCCA